GCCCUGAUCGAAUUGGAUAGACUUAGGUGAAUCAGUCAUUAAGAUGAUUAGUUGUGCAGCAUUUUACCUGAGAACAAUCAGAGUGAUAAAAUAGAAAAGAUUCGUUCCAAACCGCUGAAAGAAAAGGCUUUCCCAGUCAGUGUACACACACACAGACACACAUAAAUUGCCCUGCUGGUGGACAAGGCCCUGGGCCCAGAACUGAAGAGGAAGAGGAAUAUUGGAUGGAUUUCAUUUAGAAAACUCUACUGUGUUUCAAGGAUCUCAAGCUGUUCCCUGACACAGGGGAAUUUCUUCAAACUCCAAUAUUCUCCCAGUGACAGUAUACAGCUGCUAAUCAUAGGAUGACAUGAAAUUACAGAUGAAGAAACUGAAUCUUACAGAGAAGACAAUGUGCCCACAACCAUACAGCUACAUCAGAACCAGUACUUAAAACCAGG